rnacentral:rRNA from 1 species
UACGAAGGGGGCUAGCGUUGCUCGGAAUUACUGGGCGUAAAGGGAGCGUAGGCGGGUCGUUAAGUUGGGGGUGAAAGCCCGGGGCUCAACCUCGGAAUUGCCUUCAAAACUGGCGACCUUGAGUAUGGGAGAGGUGAGUGGAACUCCGAGUGUAGAGGUGAAAUGCGUAGAGAUGCGGAGGAACACCGAUGGCGAAGGCAGCCCCCUGGGCUAGCACUGACGCUCAGGCACGAAAGCGUGGGGAGCAAACAGG